CAUAUACUCCCCCAUCCCAAAAUUCUUGUCUUAGAUUUGUAUAAGAAUAGAUAUAUCUGAAUACUAAAAUGUGACAAGAUACAUUCCUAUCUAAACAAAUCUAAGACAAGAAUNNNGGGACAGAGGGAGUAUAUG
rfam:Hordeum vulgare subsp. vulgare, WGS project CAJW01000000 data, contig: morex_contig_260532